AUUGAACGCUGGCGGCAUGCCUUACACAUGCAAGUCGAACGGUAACAGGUUAAGCUGACGAGUGGCGAACGGGUGAGUAAUAUAUCGGAACGUGCCCAGUAGUGGGGGAUAGCCCGGCGAAAGCCGGAUUAAUACCGCAUACGACCUACGGGUGAAAGGGGGGGAUCGCAAGACCUCUCGCUAUUGGAGUGGCCGAUAUCAGAUUAGGUAGUUGGUGGGGUAAAGGCCUACCAAGCCUGCGAUCUGUAGUUGGUCUGAGAGGAGGACCAGCCACACUGGGACUGAGACACGGCCCAGACUCCUACGGGAGGCAGCAGUGGGGAAUUUUGGACAAUGGGCGCAAGCCUGAUCCAGCAAUGCCGCGUGCAGGAAGAAGGCUUUCGGGUUGUAAACUGCUUUUGUCAGGGAAGAAAUCCUCUGGGUUAAUACCUCGGGGGGAUGACGGUACCUGAAGAAUAAGCACCGGCUAACUACGUGCCAGCCGCCGCUGUAAUAC
rnacentral:rRNA from 1 species